rnacentral:rRNA from 1 species
UACGAAGGGGGCUAGCGUUGCUCGGAAUCACUGGGCGUAAAGCGCACGUAGGCGGCUUACUAAGUCAGGGGUGAAAUCCUGGAGCUCAACUCCAGUACUGCCUUUGAUACUGGUGAGCUUGAGUCCGGAAGAGGUGAGUGGAACUGCGAGUGUAGAGGUGAAAUUCGUAGAUAUUCGCAAGAACACCAGUGGCGAAGGCGGCUCACUGGUCCGGUACUGACGCUGAGGUGCGAAGGUCAGGGGAGCAAACGGG